rnacentral:lncRNA from 1 species
GCUGAGGAUAGAGUCUUGGUUUUAUUCUUUUCCCAGAUUUCCAUUUUAACCAUUAGAUCAUGAGUCCAUAGCCUUUGAAAAAAAUUGACAGAAUUGAUUCAGCCACCUCUAUUUCCUUGGAUAUCUUUGGUUCAGAUAUAGUUUACAGACUGGUUCAUAUAACAUAAAGCACAAAACAUCCAAAUGAUGACGCUAUUUUGAAUUGAUAUUAAUGGGGUUAAGACCCAAUUCUGAAUUUGCAUUUAAUUUUAGUGACAUGAAUGGACUUGUUUUAUAAGUGGAAAUAAGCUUUAUACCAACAGUUAGAGAUUUCAAACUUUGUAGAAAUCACUAAUUAUCAUUCUUUGUGUUCUAUUCCACCAAAAUUAAAACUUUGACAUUGCCAUAAUCUUUGUAAAUGUUGUAAUAAUCCCUUUAGAGACGACAUCGUAAGGGCAAUUAUCAAGACUACAUUAAGAAUAUCUUCACAGGGAGUUCCAUUGUGGUUCAGUGGUAACAAACCCGAUUAGUAUCCAUGAGGAUGAGGGUUCAAUCCCUGGUCUCGUUCAGUGGGUUAAGGAGCCGGCAUUGCAGUGGGCUCUGGUGUAGAUUGCAGAUGUGGCUCAGGUCUGGAGUUGCUGUGGCUGUGGUGUAGGCCAGCAAGCUACAGCUCCAAUUGGACCACUAGCCUGGAAACUUCCAUGUGCCACAGGUAUGGCCCUAAAAAGAUCAAAAAGAAAAUAUAUCUAUACAAAUUAAUUUGCACCAAAAGAGAGAGGAAGUGAAAGAGAGAGAGCGCAAGAGAGAGAGAGGCUAUCAUUAACUACUAAUGGAGUCUGAAAGGAUAUAAGCGUGCUUAUUUCAUUUUGAAACAGUUAAAAAAAAUGCUAUUUUUUUCCUCAAGGGAUUUCCAUGGAGGUAUAUUCUUUCUUUGGGCAUUCCACUUUUAAGGUAAAAUAAUUCUCAAUUCACUAAUAUGUAAAACCCAUAUAAUUUAUAUAUGCUAUAAAGUAAGAAUUACUAAUGAAAAGUCAAUCACAUAACCAUCUUCUAAAUAUGGUUUAGAAAAGGAAAAUCUUGCCACUAAAACAUUGCAUGUUACUUAUAAAAACAUAAACAGGACAUCCUUAUAUGUCUUUAUAAACUUCUGGUUUUUAAAGCUCAUCAUAGAAACUGCCUCCUGAGAAACAAAAUGCUAUUUGGUAUUUUUCCCUUACAGAAAGAUUGUUUCUUUAAUAGCUAACAACAGAAUUUUUGCAUGGGAAGGUCAAAUUGGAGCUGUCACUUCAGAAAUCAGCAAGGAGUGGAUUCAGAGUUUGUUUCCUCUUCCAACUAGUUCAUCUGCACAUAAAUGUUCAGGAGCCGAUGUUCUUUUAUCCUCAUGGGGCAAUGAGCUUCAAAUGAACCUGGAGUUCUAACUCUCAGCAGGGAAUAGUCCUGAUAGUAGGAGAUCCCAUUUGCCAUUAUCUAUUUGUGUUGCAAGGUAAUUCAUUUUGGGUUGAGAUCAAAUUGUUUUAAGCUGAGCUGGUAUUUUUAUUGGUGUCCUUCCAGCCAGCCUUCCUGGUAAGAACCGUCGUUAUUUCUAACAAGCUGACCUAAAGGAAAAGAUUAUUUCUGCCAGUGUGCAUUGUCACAAGGGAACAAAGAUGUGCAAGACCUAUUUUACGUUAGUUACUUAUUUUUAAAGCAUUGAUAGAGGUAUGAGAGUGGUAGUCUGCUCUUGGGGGAAAUCAGCUGACUAGUUGAUGAAGGGUCAGGAAAAAUGGGUGAUGAUGGGAACAUCUGAAACGAUCUGUUAGUAUUUGCUGUAAAAUUACCAUUUAAAGUUGAGGAAGGUAAUAUUUGCAAAAUGUAAUAGAUAUUGUAAAAAUACUGAAAAGCUCAACUCCAAACUGCCAAGUAACAUAUAUCAUUGGUUUCUAUUGCUAUUUAAUUAUUUGAGAAAUUUGGCAUAUAUAUAUAGUAUAGUAUAUGUGUAUAUAUACACAUAUACACACACUUUAGUGUUAAAAAGAUUCAAGAAAAGGGAGUUCCUUUCGUGGCUCAGUGGUUAACAAACCUGACUAGGAUCCAUGAGGAUGCGGGUCCGAUCCCUGGCCUCACUCAUUGGGUUAAGGAUCCGGUGUUGUCACUGCUGUGGCUUUGGUUAUAGCUGUGGCAUGGGUUAUAUCCCAGGCCCGGAAACUUCUGCAUGCUGUGGGCAUAGCCAAAAAAAAAAAAAAAAAAAAAAAAA